ensembl:lncRNA
GUUAACUCAAGGGAGCUGAAGCUCCAAUACUUUGGCCACCUGAUGUGAAGAGCCGACUCAAUGGAAAAGACCCUGUUGCUAAGGAAGAUUGGAGGCAGGAGAAGGGGGCGACAGAGGAUUAGAUGGUUGAAUGGUAUCAUCAACUCAAUAGACAUGAGUUUGAGCAAACUCCUGGAAAUAUUGAAGGACAGCUCUGCCCCCCAUCCUUCAACGACUUCCAGCUCUUCGAGUUGUUUCUUCUGGAAUGACUUCCAUAUUUCUCAGUAAGUAUGACGCGCCCUUGAGGCAUCUGUUUUACUCACUUCUGUGGAGUAUCUCCUCUGCCAGAGAAGACUUUGGGUUUUUUACAACACCCUCCAGUCUUUGCACUUUAUUUUUGGUUCAGUGCUUCUGAGUUUAUAAAACUAUGACUAUAGAUACUGUUGUCUGAGCCAAAGAGUGUGCCAUAAUUAUGUUUCUUUUCUCAUUAUGCCUUCACUUCCUCUGGAGUUACUAACUCCCUUGGUUUACACUGGACUUGUUUUCUACCCCCCAUUAAUAUGUCUUUCUGUACUUUCUUUUGGGCUUCCCAGGCGGCGCAGUGGUAAAGAAUCUGCAGGCCUAGGCAGGAGGCACAAGAGAGGAGGGG